CCUACGGGUGGCAGCAGUGGGGGAUAUUGCACAAUGGGGGAAACCCUGAUGCAGCGACGCCGCGUGUGGGAAGACGGUCCUCUGGAUUGUAAACCACUGUCCCCAGGGACGAAGAUGACGUUACCUGGGGAGGCAGCUCCGGCAAACUACGUGCCAGCAGCCGCGGUAAUACGUAGGGAGCGAGCGUUGUCCGGAAUUACUGGGUGUAAGGGGAGCGUAGGCGGGACUGCAAGUUGGGUGUCAAAUCUACCGGCUCAACCGGUAGCCGCACUCAAAACUGCAGUUCUUGAGAGAAGUAGAGGCAGGCGGAAUUCCUAGUGUAGCGGUGAAAUGCGUAGAUAUUAGGAGGAACACCAGUGGCGAAGGCGGCCUGCUGGGCUUUUACUGACGCUGAGGCUCGAAAGUGUGGGGAGCAAACAGGAUUAGAUACCCGUGUAGUC
rnacentral:rRNA from 1 species